rnacentral:ncRNA from 1 species
AUUAAAGCGAUGAUGAAAACGAGUAAAUUAGUCCUUCUUUUAAGAGAGUCUUUGGUUGGUGUGAAAAGGCAAGAAGUUAAUCGAAACAUACUUUCUAGUUGUGUGCUUGAAAAAUUAAGUAAGGCAUGCCGGUCUUAUCACCCGUUAAAGUGAUCAGUUAAAAAAACUGACAGAGAUAUUUUGUUCUGAUGAAUGAAAUAAAUUGAGGUGGGACCACGAAACGUUUAGUUAUCGUCCUCUUA